rnacentral:rRNA from 1 species
GUUGCAUGGCUGUCGUCAGCUCGUGUCGUGAGGUGUGGGUUAAGUCCCGCAACGAGCGCAACCCCUAUCCUCAGUUGCCAUCAUUAAGUUGGGCACUCUGUGGAGACUGCCGGUGUCAAACCGGAGGAAGGUGGGGAUGACGUCAAGUCCUCAUGGCCCUUAUGACCAGGGCUACACACGUGCUACAAUGGCCGGUACAAAGAGUUGCGAUACCGCGAGGUGGAGCUAAUCUCAUAAAGCCGGUCUCAGUUCGGAUUGGAGUCUGCAACUCGACUCCAUGAAGUUGGAAUCGCUAGUAAUCGCGGAUCAGCACGCCGCGGUGAAUACGUUCCCGGGCCUU